AGUUUCAUCAAAGUGGGCCCAAUAUCAGCCCAAUUCAUAGGAUCACUGCCCACAUUUUCACCCACGUUUGAAAAUUCAAUUUCAAAUAUCAUAUUCAAAUUCGAUUUUAAAUUUUUAAACCCCAGAAAAUAUCUGUUAUCCUAAUAACCCUAUUCGAAAUUCGAUUUCGAACUUCGAACCACCUCCCAAAAUAUCUCUCAACCAACAUUCAUUCGAAUUUUGAAUACUUAUCCAUCCCACAACCCAUUCAAAAUUCAAUUUUGAAUUUCCAAUCCCCAACCAACAUCCAUUCGAAUUUUGAAUACCUAACCACCCAACAACCGAUUCAAAAUUCGAUUUCGAAUUUUGAAUCCCUAACUGACUCCCCAAAAUAUCCUUCAACCAUCCAACAACCCAUUCAAAAUUCGAUUUCGAAUUUCGAAUCCCUAACCGACUCACCAAAAUAUCCUUCAACUAUCCAACAACCCAUUCAAAAUUCAAUUUCGAAUUUCGAAUUUCCAAUCAAUUCCCAAAAUAUCCUCCAACAAUCCAUUCAAAAUUCGAUUUCGAAUUUCGAAUCCCUAACCAAUUCCCAAAAUAUCCUCCAACAACCCAUUCAAAAUUCGAUUUCGAAUUUCGAAUUCCCAACCAAUUCCCAAAUAUCCUCCAACAACCCAUUCAAAAUUCGAAUUUCGAAUUUUGAAUUCCAACCAAUUUCCAAAAUACCCUCCAACCAUCCAACAACCCAUUCAAAAUUCGAUUUCGAAUUUCGAAUUCCCAACAAAAUCCCAAAUAUCUUUCAACCAACCACAACAACCUAUUCAAAAUUCAAAUUCGAAUUUCGAAUCCCUCGAAAUAUCUCUCACCACCCCUCCCAUUAUAAAUACGAGAACCGAAAUCAAACUCGGAGAGGAUUUUUUACGGAGACGAUAGAUAAAAAAAA
rnacentral:lncRNA from 1 species